GCCAGCCCGCUCAGAAACUUAAAGGAAGUUGACGGGGCCCGCACAAGCGGUGGAGUAUGUGGUUUAAUUCGAUGCAACGCGAAGAACCUUACCUGGUCUUGACAUCCCGGAGACCCUUAGGAAACUAGGGGUGCUUCCAUCUGGAAGAAUCUGGAGACAGGUGCUGCAUGGCUGUCGUCAGCUCGUGUCGUGAGAUGUUGGGUUAAGUCCCGCAACGAGCGCAACCCUUGCCUUUAGUUGCCAGCAGUUCGGCUGGGCACUCUAAAGGGACUGCCGGUGUUAAACCGGAGGAAGGUGGGGAUGACGUCAAGUCCUCAUGGCCUUUAUGACCAGGGCUACACACGUACUACAAUGGCCGAUACAAAGGGCAGCGACACUGCGAGGUGAAGCCAAUCCCGUAAAAUCGGUCUCAGUCCGGAUUGGAGUCUGCAACUCGACUCCAUGAAGUUGGAAUCGCUAGUAAUCGUGGAUCAGCAUGCCACGGUGAAUACGUUCCCGGGCCUU
rnacentral:rRNA from 1 species